rnacentral:rRNA from 1 species
GGUUAAGCUACUAAGAGCGCACGGUGGAUACCUUGGCGUCAGCAGCCGAUGAAGGACGCAAUAAACUGCGAAAUUCCACGGGGAGUCGUUAUAGACUAAGAUCCGUGGGUCUCCGAAUGGGGCAACCCCGCUGAGUAAUGUCAGCGACGCACAUCUGAAUACAUAGGGUGUGACGAGGUAAGCUCGGGAACUGAAACAUCUUAGUACCGAGAGGAAAAUAAAACAAAACAGUGAUUCCCUAAGUAGCGGCGAGUGAACGGGGAACAGCCCAAACCAGUAGGACGUAAGUCUUAUUGGGGUUGCGGGACUCUAUAAAGAAUUGAAGAAAGUUAGUUGAAGAGCUCUGGAAAGGGCUACCAAAGACGGUGACAGUCCGGUAGACGAAAACUUUCGACAUCUGGGAGUAUCCCAAGUAGUACGGGACACGAGAAAUCUUGUACGAAUCUGCCAGGACCAUCUGGUAAGGCUAAAUACUGACUGACGACCGAUAGUGAACAAGUACCGCGAGGGAAAGGUGAAAAGAACCCGUGAGAGGGAGUGAAAUAGAACAUGAAACCGUGUGCUUACAAGCAAUUGGAGCACUAUUUAUAGUGUGACAGUGUGCCUGUUGAAGAAUGAGCCGGCGAGUUACCGUACGUAGUUGGUUAAGCAGUUAACAUGCGAAGCCAAAGGGAAACCGAGUCUGAUAAGGGCGUUGAUAAUUACGUGUGGUAGACCCGAACCCUGAUGAUCUAGGCAUGGCCAGGAUGAAGCGCGUGUAACAAUGCGUAGAGGUCCGAACCAACCGAUGUUGAAAAAUCGGUGGAUGAGCUGUGUUUAGGGGUGAAAUGCCAAUCGAAUCAGGAGCUAGCUGGUUCUCCCCGAAAGGCGUUGAGGCACCGCGUCAGAUUUAUCCUACAGGGGGUAGAGCACUAGUUCGGUGCGGGCGGAGAAAAUCCGUACCAAAUCGAGUUAAACUCCGAAUACCUGUAGCGUCAUUAUCUGGCAGUGAGAGUGCGAGAGAUAAGUUCCGUACUCAAGAGGGAAACAGCCCAGACUACCGACUAAGGUCCCAAAGUUCAUGCUAAGUGAUUAAGGAGGUGGAGUUGCAUUGACAACUAGGAUGUUGGCUUAGAAGCAGCCACCAUUUAAAGAAAGCGUAAUAGCUCACUAGUCAAGCGAUUCUGCGCCGAAAACGUAUGGGGCUAAGCAUGGCACCGAAAUCGUAGGAUCAACGUUAAAAAUUGAUCGGUAGGGGAGCGUUGUGUUGUAGGUCGAAGUAAGAGCGUAAGCACUUAUGGACGAAGCACAAGUGAGACUGUCGGCUUAAGUAGCGAAAACAUUGGUGAGAAUCCAAUGCACCGAAAGACUAAGGGUUCCCACGCAAGGUUCGUCCACGUGGGGUUAGCCGGGAGCUAAGGCGAGGCCGACAGGCGUAGCCGAUGCACAACGGGUUAAUAUUCCCGUGCCACUUAUUAUCCGCUAGGAGCUAAGUCGGGACGCAGGAGGCUAUACACAGGGUACAGUUUGGUUUUGUACCUCCAAAGGCGUAGCUAGUCAGGGUAGGCAAAUCCGCCCUGGCGUUACAAAGUAAGGCCGAGUAAGAAAUGCUCUAAGGAGCAAAUUGUGUAGAUGCCACGCUGCCGAGAAAAGCGGCGAAAGCCAGGAUAAUGUGUGCUCGUACCCUAAACCGACACAGGUAGUCAGGUAGAGAAUACCAAGGUGCGCGAGAUAACUCUCUCUAAGGAACUCGGCAAAAUAACCUCGUAACUUCGGAAGAAGAGGUGUCAUGGUAGGGUGUAGGACUUCGCGUCCGAAGCCUGAGAUGAUCGCAGCGACGAGGCUCAAGCGACUGUUUAACAAAAACACAGGUCUCUGCUAAACCGUAAGGUGAUGUAUAGGGGCUGACUCCUGCCCAGUGCCGGAAGGUUAAGUGGAUCGGUUAGCGCAAGCGAAGCUGAAAAACAAAGCCCCGGUGAACGGCGGC